AAGAAUGCCAUGCUCGGGGGUGCAUUGACAGGGGCUCUAGUAUCUGCAGCCAGCAAAGAGAACAAGGAUAAAAUUCUGGUGGAUGCAAUUACAGGAGGUGCCAUUGCGACCGCUGCGGAAUUCAUCAACUAUCUCACCUGAACAUGGACGUAAUAUUCUACCCGAUCUCUCUGUAGAUCCUGGAGAACUAUGAGUAGGUUUCUCGUGUCAUCUUCCUCAUGAAUUCGUAGAGCAUUGUAUAAAGAAUGUUCAAGGGUUCAUCUAAACUACUGAAACAUACAAUGAAUUAUGAAUCUUCUGUUUUUAUCAUUCUUGAGCAAUAUGUUCGAUGCUUUUUUUUUUUUUUUUGUGACAAAAGAUAACGUUAAUGGGUUAAAUAGAUAGUUGUUAGGAGGAAAAGAAUCGGUAGGGAUCAAACAUGCUCCAUGGAACAAAUGCAUAACUGUUUUCCGCUACUGCGAGAAAGUGCGAAUAUGUUAGAUGCUUACUGAUGCAAAGAUUGCUAUGAAUUUGUUGCAUUCGCCAAAGAAAAAAAACAACCGAUGCCCCAUCGAUCGUAUUAUCUUCUAUUUACAAAAUUGGUAUUCAAAUAUGCAAAUCAACAUCUAUAUAAUUUAGAUUAGUUUGGUACAGACAGACUAAAACUUGUGCAAAAAAACAAUUGUAUUGUUAUAAGAACUAUGAUAUAUGCCACAUCAAUUACAUAUAAAAAUGUGAAUAAUAAGUCAAAGUGCUUAAAACCCCAAUAUUCUUUUAAAAGUAAAAUGUGCUUGAAAAAGAAACUCCAAUGUGCAUAGAAAAAUGCAUGACAGAGAACAUGCUCAACAACAAUAGGGAUUUGGUUUAUGGUGCCUCGUAAAUUGGAAAUUUCAACUUUGUAUUUUGGGUAUAGAGCUACCUGGCUUUACGGAGACCGUUCCUCUUUAAUCUGCACUAGAUCACUAUAUAAUAAGCCUUGCAUGGUUAUUGUUCUUUGCAUCAGCGUUUGAGAUCUCUCUUAUUAUACACAAGCACACACAUAGAAACACACAGAUCAAGCACACACUUACAUACACAUGGAUUCAAAUGGAGCGUUCAAUGCGUCUUGUUUCAGCUGCUUUCGUUCUUGUCUUACUUUUGGCCGCUACCGGUAAUUAUACCUCUUUUAUUUAAUAAUUAAAAGAUAGGCAGAUAAUAGUUCAUUUUGUUUCAUCCUCAUAUUUUCAAACUCACAAAGCAAACUUUGAAGUUUAACAUACCUUGCAUGUUCAUCGCCGCAAAAUUCCUCUUGAAGUAGAUCCCAAGCACCCUUGGGUGUCUCUUGAUUCACGAUCCGAGGGAAGAUCUCUUUAGACACAGCGCUCUGAAUGAUUCCCAGUGCAUUAGCGUCUUUCAUAAGUUGAUCAUCCAUGUGAGUAUCAAACUCAUUGUUGUCUUCUUCAUCAUCGUCUGAUGAGGGUGAGUCUUCCUUCUUCUUUGUUUUUCCUCUUUCCUUCUUCUUCUUCUAUUCUGGAGUAACAAUUCCUUUGUCUACCAGUUUCCAAAUCCCAUAUGAUUUGAAAAUGGUGACCAUUCUCACUUUCCAGAAUUCGAACUCCGUUCCAUAAAAAACGGGAGCUCGUAAAUCGUUGCUUCCAAACCCAGUCAUUGUAGCUUGAAUUAGAAUGAAAUCUAGAGAUUUCAUGUUGGAUUAUCUCUCAAAAUUUCACAGAAACCGACGCCCAAUCCGACAUCGAACCUAGGCUUUGGAUACCAUGUUAGAAUCUGUAAAAGUUUGGUAGUAUUUGCAGCAAUUCAAAAUAGAGAGAAAGAACUUAGAGAGAAGAAAAUGAAGAGAUAUAAGGAGAGUGAUCAAAAUCUCAGAAAGAGCCAAUGUGCUCUUCUGUGUGCAUUUUCAUUUUAUCACAACUGAACAAAAAAUAACUAUUACAAAGGGAGAGAAUCUAGGAGAGCCUAUUAGCUCAUCCAUCCCUUCAUUACAAGAACCUAUGAGAUCUUGACAUUUGCUCACAUCUGAGCCUAAUACAUUAAGAGCUAUUCUCAACCCUUGAUUUCUAACAGCUCAUUUCAUAAAGACUAACAACUUGAUAAAAUAAAGAAAAUAACAGUUUAGACCUUAAUCAACCAACAAAACUUUCAUUUUUCUCAAUCUUGUAGUGUCUUUCCUUCUUCGUUAGACUAUUUAUAUUACGUGUUUGCUUAGUUGGAAUAGGGGAAGUUGCGAAUUCGAGAAAGAAAAGAAGGAAUGUGAAUGAGAUUUUCUUUUCUUUUUUGUGAAAAUAAAAUUUACAACAAGAACUCCGUCCUUAAUAAGUUCAUUUGCCACUAAGUUUGCGUUAUUGAACACAUGUCGAAACAAUGACAUUGUUUGUACCAUACUUAAGGCCUCCGUAUUUAGAUCUCGUAUAAAUACUCGGGGGACUUAAAUGUAAUUAUGUAAUAAAGGAAGUGACAAAUAUGUAAUAUGUGAGGAGCCCUUAUUCUAUAAAAGGACCCAUCACUCUCCUCGUUAAGGGAGGCCAAUUCUUAGGCCUGACCACCUUCUCAGAGGCUCUCUCCCUCACAAUCCUCUCAAAGAAAUACAAUAUCAGUGUGGACGUAGCCCAAACAUUGGGGUGAACCACGAUACAUCUUGUGUUAUUUACUUUCUUGCAGAUUCACGGUCAGAUUUACAUUGUUCCAAGACCUCCGGUUUUGUUCAUCAACAUUUGGCGCCAUCUUUGGGAAUCAACACGAAAAGCUAUGUCGGUUCUCUCUCAAAUUUUCAUACCACCACCGUGAAUCUGCAAAAUCACAAAAAUCCAAAAAACCAAAUCUCUCUCUUUCUCCUCUCUCGGUUAGUCAUACACAUAAACCAAAACAAAAAAGAAAUAAAAAAACUCUAAAAGGCUGGUCCUUCUCAAGUGUAAAGACUGAAGAGCCACAAUCAAAUGGAUUCCCAUUCCCAUCUACCCCAACCUCCAUCGUCGCCAUCAUCACCGUCGGCACAUCCACAGCCCUAAAUCCCACCUCCCACAAUUCAUCUGAAAAUACCCAACACUAAUCACAAUUUCCAACAACCAUGAAGGUCAUUUUGGUCAUAGUCUCACUCUUGCUCUUCAACUCCCUCCUCCUCUGCUACUCCAUUGAAGACAACGUCGCAUGCCUCGAGGGCGUCAAGUCAUCGUUCACCGAUCUAGAAGGGCGGCUGAGCCAAUGGGACCUUGCCAACAGGUUGGUGACCUCCAUCUGCAAGCUGGUUGGCGUUACCUGUUGGAAUGAGAAGGAGAAUCGCCUCAUCAGCCUCCAGCUCCCGUCAAUGUAGCUCGUCGGCAAGCUCCUGAAGUCUCUCAAGUUCUACCACAGCCUCCAGAGCUUGGAUCUCUUUGGUAACUCUCUCUCCGGUUCGAUUCCUCCCCAAAUCUGCAACUGGCUUCCAUACCUCGUAACCCUAGAUGUUUCUGGCAACUCUCUCUUCGGUUCGAUCCCGCCGGAGAUCGCCAAUUGUAAGUUCCUCAACACUCUAAUUUUGAACGACAAUCGCCUCUCCGGUACCAUGCUCAAUCUUAGUCGCCAGAUGGCAGCCCUCGAGGGCACAAAGGCCGCCUACUGCACGUCCUCAGGGAUGUCAACCAUAUCCUCCAUCCUGCUCCAGCUCGUCAACAGCGGGGAACACAUCGUAGCCUCAAGAACCGUCUACGGAGGGACCCAUGCCCUCAUGUCUCACUUCUUCCCCAGGGCAUGCAACAUAACGACGACAUUUGUGGACAUCAACGACAUGGACAUGGUGAAGAAUGCUAUUGAGGCUGGGAAGACCAAGGUACUCUAUUUCGAAGGCAUGUCGAACCUAACUCUCAUCGUCGCCAACAUACCGAAGCUCAGCCGUAUCGGCUACGAGAAGGGGGUCAAGAUUGUGGUGGACAACAUAUUUUCUCUCAUGGUUCUAUCUCCGGUGAAACUUGGUGCUGACGUUGUUGUUCACAGCAUUUCCAAGUUUAUUAGCGGUGGUGUUGAUAUUAUUGCAGGUGUUGUGUGCGGACCUGCAAACCUGGUGAACUCAAUGAUGGAUCUACACAAAGGCUCCUUGAUGCUCCUGGGUCCCACAAUGAAUGUCAAUGUGGCAUUUGAGCUCUUUGAGAGGAUUCCCCACCUAGGGUUGAGAAUGAAGGAGCACUACCACAGGGCAAUGGUUUAUGCCUAAAGGAUGAAGAAGAUGUGCGAAAACAAAUUUGAAACUUUGUAUUUUGAUAUGAAUACGGGAGCUAAGAUCCUAUCUGUUGGUCUUGGAACAUGGAAAGCUGAACCAGGCGUGGUCGGUCAAGCUGUCAUCGCAGCAGUCAAGAAUGGCUACAGGCAUAUUGACUAUGCAUCAGUACAGUGUGGCGUCACAACAAUGAUGUUUGGAUCUGCAAUGGUCCUCUUCCCAACUUGAUUGGGUUACAACGAAGAAGAUAAGUUUUUUUAUUAUUAAUCAUAUUAUUAUUGUCUGCCAUCUGCCAAAAGAAAAAAGAGAAAGAACAGGAGUGGGAGAAACAAAAGCAGAAAAGAAAAAGAAAAAGAAAGGCUGCAGAUGAGUAUGUCUGCAGGUGAAAAGAAAAAGCAUGCAUUUAUCCCCCAGAUUCCACCACAAAAGCACAUGGGUAAAGGAUGGGUACCUCAGAUUCAAAGCCACUAAUGCAAUUUGACUCCACCACUAGUCCUACGCACCUCAGAUCCCAUCUCUGCGAAUAACACUGGAAAAGCAAAAGUAGAAAGUAAAAGAGGGAAUUAUAGGCGUGACCCAUUGAGCAGAGGGUCGGAUUUAUUUUUGAAUGAUAUAAAUUUUUUUUCGUAUCUUUCGGAGAUAUCUGUAUAACCCCAUCAGAGGGUAAUAAUAAAAAAAUAAAAAAUAAAAAAUAAAAAAACGGCAAGCUCAAAAUAAUGGGCUGGAAUGUUAUGUGGGGUGCGAAGGCCCAUAUGCCCAAAAGAGCCAGGCCCUUUAUUAUCACCAACCAGGUGAUCAAAAGUACGUCCAGUACUACAAAAAUUAUUCGGCACCCCGCCACUAUUAUCACUAACCAGGUGAUCAAAAGUACGCCCAGUACUCUAAAAAAUUAUUCGGCAGCCUGUCGCUAUUAUCACCAACCAGGUGAUCAAAAGUACGUCCAGUACUCCAAAAUUAUACAUGAGCAUCACUCAUGUCAAUCAUAAAUAAACAUUUCAUGAGCAUCACUCAUGUCAAUCAUACAUAAACAUUUCAUAACCAUCAUUCAUGAGCAUCACUCAUGUCAACAUUCAUGAGCAUCACUCAUGUCAACAUCCAUGAGCAUCACUCAUGUCAAUCAACAUAAACAUUCAUGAGCAUCACUCAUGUCAAUCAGCUUCAAAAGCUUCAUUUACAGAGUUCUAGCUUCAAAAGCUUCAUUUACAGAGCUCUAGCUUCGAAAACUUCAUUUACAAAAGCUCCAGCUUCGAAAGCUUCAUUUACAGAGCUCUAGCUUCAAAAGCCUCAUUUACAGAGCCCUAACUUCAAAGUUUCAACUUGCAAAGCUUCACCUACAAAGCUUCAGUGCAGGGUAUACAAAUACCGCCUCCAAACAACCGCCACUUCGGCCCAUACAUGGAUUCAAUUUGAAGUCUCCAGCCAACAGACUCUAUUGACCGAAGAUUUGGGGGACUACAUUAUGUACCAUAUAUUGGGCCUCAACUGGGUCUCAUAAAAAAUACUUCGGGAACUUAGCCCAUUAUUUAUGUAUUGAGGAGCGAGCCCUUAUUCUAUAAAAGGGACUCCCUCACUUUCAUUAGAGAGCACCCAUUAUUCAUGUAUUGAGGAGCGAGCCCUUAUUCCAUAAAAGGGACUCCCUCACUUUCAUUAGAGAGCACCCAUCACUUAUGUAUUGAGGAGCGAGCCCUUAUUCUAUAAAAGGGACUCCCUCACCUUCAUUAGAGAGCAUCGCCGCCUGCUGAGCAACCGCCUCGCCGCGAGCACCAACUCUAGCCCUUCAUUUUUUGUAUUGAGGAGCGAGCCCUUAUUCUAUAAAAAUGACUCCCUCACCUUUAACGCCACAAGCCGAGCCAACCAAGGCAACAUAAGCCACAAGCAGAGUAGCCUCGCAACAUGUGCUACUUCUAGUUGAGCAUCAUUUUAGAUUGAGCACUGCCUCAUAUCGAGUAUUCAGUUCUAGACAACAUCUAGUUACUUCGCCCACACAUAGACUGAAUUUCAAGUAUCCAGCCAAAAGACUCUCUUGACUGAAGACUUAAGGGACUACUGUUUGUACCAUACUUAGGGCAUCAGUAUUUAGACCUCGUAUAAAUACUCAAGGGACUUAAAUGUAAUUAUGUAAUAAAGGAAUGGCAAAUAUGUAAUAAGUGAGGAGCCAUUAUUCUAUAAAAGGACCUCACUUUCCUCAUUAAGGGAGGCCAAUUCUUAGGCCUGACCCUCACCCUCUCAAAGCCUUACUCUCAUAGGCUCUCUCCCUCACAAUCCUCUAAGAGAAAUACAAUAUCAGUGUGGAUGUAGCCCAAACAUUAGGGUGAACCACGAUACAUCUUGUGUUAUUUACUUUCUUGCAGAUUCACGGUCAGAUUUACGUUGUUCCAAGACCUCUGGUUUUGUGCAUCAACAAACAUAAACCCUUUCAAUACGUUUAGAAGAGCAAAAGUUCUCAAGAAAGGGAAAUGACAAUGAGAUCAACUAGGUGGGUUGAUUUUAGACUUCUCUGCUGUGUCAAUCAUGAAUUUUAAGAUGGUUUUUGCUACGUUUUGGACACCGCUAAUACAAGUUGGGUUGAGGUCUAAAGUUAAGCGGGCAAAUUCUAAAUCAAACAUUGUAAUGAGCAAGUGAUGAUCUAAAGCAAUUACAAAGUCCAAACCUUAACCUUCUCCCUAAGUUUAGCUCACACCCUCACACAUUACAUUUACAUUAAGCAACAACUACAACUUUUAUUCAUUCAUUUAAUUCUUCUUUUUGGGGAAUGAAAAAACAAUUAUAGCUUGAGAAAAUGUGCCAGUAGCAUAUGCUAUAUGCUGGUACACUAAAUGUUACAAUACGAAUUGUUGAAUACUUGGGGAAAAUUUUUCUAAUUGCUUGUAUUAUGACAUUUGGUGUAUCGAACCAUGUUCACAGCACAAUAAAAACAAAUAUUAUUAAAAAGAAAUGAAAAAUGUCAUUUGCAAUCAAAGCAAAUACCAAUUUUACACAUGAACUUGAUCCACCGGCACCGCCUGAUGCAAUUAAUGCUGCAUUGCAUGGCAUCUUCCGAUGGCAUUCUCGUAAAUGUCUCGUCACUGAUAAAUAUCGUAUCACAAAACACCCCCACCAAUUUUGUCAUCAGUGUUAGUCACAGAGAGAGAGAGAGUGAGGAGACAGAGAAAGAAGAAGAAGAUGCCGAGAAGCAGUUUCUCAGGGGCGCUUACAGGGCCGCAAGUCGACGUGGUCAUCGACUUGGGAAACCCCUUGCUCAACCACAUCGUCGAUGGCUUCUUGAAGAUCGGAACCGUACGAUUUUUCAACUUUUCUUUUCUUUCUUUAAAUUAUCUUCAACAUUUUUUUUUAAAAUUUUUUUUUUUUUCGGUUCAGUAUUUCACUUCUGGGUUUUGAUAGUUGCAAUGGCAAGGUUUAGAAUCAAACGGUAUCGUUUUGUUGGUUUGAUUUCAGGUUGCUGCUACCAGAGCUGUUGCAGAGGAUGCUUUCUCUGCGGCCAAGAAAAGUAAUGUUAUUUAUCAUUGCGCUCCAACUGUUUGGUUCCCGAUCGAGAAACACUGAGAAAAUGAGGAGUGGGAAAGUUUUAAAUUUCAUAUGUUGAUCAUAUUGUGCUUGCAGUCUGAUGAUGAUGAUUGUAUUUAUUUGGUUGUUGAAUAAGAUUUUUGGGUUUUACUUUAGUUUUUUUAAUUACAUUUACUAAAAAUGUGAGGUGAUUUUUGCAGGGAGCAUUUCGACUAGCGACUUUAAGCACACUGUAAGUAACCAGCACAGUCCCUUGUUUAAUUAAUUCGGUUUUUCGAUUUUGUGCUUUCUUGUAUGAUCUGAGAUUAGUAGCUACUCUUAACCUUGACAUUGAGCUUGAAAGUACCGAUCUUGCUGGUUUAGGUAGUUUAGUUUGUUUUGUUUUGUUUUGUUUGAUUUGUGAUCGGCCUUUGGUUCCCUUGUAAGCGAAAACAAUAUUAGUAGCUACUUUCAGUUAAUUCAGCAUCUUCAGUUGUUGCUCAGUUGAUUUUGUUUAGUGGGAUCUAUUGCUUUCUGGAGGUCUGUCUUAUACUGUGGUAAUUUGUUGAAGAGGUGAUAGGUUGUUUAUUCAUAGAAGAAAGUUGGGAUGCAACACAAUUUCCGAAUCCUGCUAAUUGCGAGUACUGUUUCUUGCAGUUGAAGAAGAUGUGUAAAGAAGGUGCAUAUUGGGGUAAGUUGAGUCGUAUUUCAUUGUGUGUUAGAUGUAUGUAUGGAUGCGAUUGUGCUCGUCCUCCGGGAAAAUUGCUUCAGCUUCCUCACUUUUGCAAAUUGAGAACAGCAUCAACAAUUUCUUCUAUUGCAUUGACAGGAACUGUAGCUGGACUGUACGUGGGAGCAGAGUAUGGUAUCGAGAGGGUCGGUGGACACAGAGACUGGGUAUACGUCUGUUCGAAUUCUAGAUAGCUAGUUGUACAGUGCCUGUUGGCCGUAAUUUUCUUGCUCAUUCGUCCUAGUUUGCACAUGAAGCUUCUAGAUUUGGGAAAUUGUUUCAGAUUGUCUACUUGCUAAUUUAAAACGCUUAACCUCUAUGUUCCCUAGAUCCUCCCGUUGCCAUGAUUUGUGUAAUUGUUCGUUUUCAGUAUGCGCGGGUUGCUUCUAAAAUUACAUUCAAGCAUACAAUUUCAAGUUCGUUUUUAUUUAAUUUUCAGACUUCGAUUGGAACUUCUGCAUCUGCUCACCCUUUUUCUUCUGAUAUCCUCCAGAAGAAUGCAUUGCUCGGGGGUGCAUUGACAGGGGCUCUAGUAUCUGCAGCCAGCAAAGAGAACAAGGAUAAAGUUCUGGUGGAUGCAAUUACAGGAGGUGCCAUUGCGACCGCUGUGGAAUUCAUCAACUAUCUCACCUGAACAUGGACGUAAUAUUCUACCCGAUCUCUUUGUAGAUCCUGGAGAACUAUGAGUAGGUUUCUCGUGUCAUCUUCCUCAUGAAUUCGUAGAGCAUUGUAUAAAGAAUGUUCAAGGGUUCAUCUAAACUACUGAAGGUUGAU
rnacentral:lncRNA from 1 species